UUUAGAGUCAACAGUGAUAUUGAAGUAUGUUCUGUUGUAUGAUCAAUUGCCUGAGAUUGUCAUUUCGUACAGGACACAUCACAAGGCACAUACAUCUCGACCAUCUGAGUUGUUAUAAUACUUGCUGGAAUGAAUGAUCGAUCGCCUGUCACUACGCACAAGACAUAUCACAUGGCACAUACAUCUCGACCAUCAGAGCAGUUCUAAUACUUGCUGGAACAGAUUAACCCUCAAAUGUUGGAUGACUUAGUUGGAUUCAUCUACUGUUUUGGACUGUUCAUCCACUCAAAUACGCUGCGACCAAGCUUAUCGAUAUGACUGUUUUGAUCAUAUACAACUUGUGCACUUUUUACCUCUAUAACAUUAUCAUUAAUAAUUAAGAUUAGCUAUAUUCAGAUAUUUAAAGAUGUAUUAAAAGUAUGAUCUGCAUUUUUAAUAUGUGAGACGCUCAACGUAAAAUUGUUAUCCUUUUUCAUAUGACCCAAAAUAUGACCUUUUAAAAAAGGAUCAAGUAGUCAUAGCAUGUAAAUUUAAUGUUAUUUAAAUGUUAUUCUGAGAUAAAAUGUUAUUGGUUUCCCGUACAAAAAAACCCUAUGUACGCUUUUGUUUAACAUUAACUCCUUCCUUUUUAUCCGGUAAAAUAAAUAAAAUAAAAAAAUGGCUUUGUGUAGUAAACUUAGACUCAAAAACAACAAAGCUAGCAUUGAUUUAAAAAUGGUUAAAAUUUGGUCUACAAUCUAGUUGGCAGAUAAAAUGCAUCUUAAAGAAUGAAGUUGAUUACUUUUUUUCAAGUAUAUGUGAUAAUUUUAAAGAAAUACUUCUGAAAAAUUAUACAUUUAUUUUGAAAUUACUCGUAGUCCAAUAGUUUGUUUACUGUAUUUUUAUCAUCUGACUACAGAAUAUUCAAGGUAAUGUAGUGUGUAAAUGUGUCUUCUUAAUAUUUCUUUACGUAUAUUUUUAUUAUUAGAUUUUCUUUGUUUUGUUUCUGGGUUAUGGUCACACUUUUAGCUGAACUAUUUUGUUUCAUUUUACUUCAUUUUCAACAUAUGGAUGACUUCAAAUUAUUGAAGAAAAUCUUAAUAUUAUAUUUUAUUUAAAAAGCGAGAUACAGAGACUCAGUAUUUUUGUUCAAGAUUCAAGACGUUGUUAACGGCAAUGGCAUAUUUUGUUUCCGUAUGUAAUGUAUUAGUAAGUUCCAUAAAGGAUAACAACUCUCAAUAAAAAGAAAAUUAUCAACAUCCUUUCUUUAUAUGUAAAUUGUGUUUAAUUUGUUAAAGAAAUAGCUUUUUUGUUGUUUUCUUUAUUGUUCAAAAUCUGAAAACAAAAAUUUUACAAGAUGUUUUUAUUCAACUUUAUUUCUAAAAUAAAAUGUAAAUAAUGUACCUCGCUUGUAACUCGACUUCUAACGUUUGAAUAGUAAAAAAUCAUCUAUAUGACAGAAAAAGUAACUGUAUUGUAGUUAUCAUCUGAAAUUGUGACCAAGUCCCUCUAAGAUGUAAACAAAUAACUUGUAUAUGACCUUUUUGUUAAAGCUCAUGUGAGUUUUUCUGAUCAAAAUAUGGCUGGUGUCUGAUGCCUUCCUGUCUUAGGUCAAUGCGUUGAUUGCUUGCAUUUAAUUCUUACUCUAUGAAUUGAAUUGAUUUUUGGAGAUUUUUUAGCUUUGUUUAAAUGAAGAACCAUGCCAUUGUUUUUCAGGAAAACAAGAAAAUGCGGUUUUCUCUUAUUUUGCCAAUUCAAGCAGUUUUGCAAGUUUCCCUUUAAUCUAGUAAUCCUAUAGUUUGAAGGUUCUGGCUUAUCUAUUUAACAAGUAAUUUUAUGACAUUGGUUAGGUGAAACGUGAAAAUGGCGCCCACGCGUUAUCGUUUCCCGGUAUUGUACACUGUAUUCAUUAAGCCAUAGAACAAAGUAUAAUUUACUCGAGGUGGCGAUGGCUUUAUAGAAUUAGAUUUUGUCAAUAUAUCAUUCAGAGAAACAUCUGAGCAUUUUAAAGAUGUUAUUUCAUUUAAAAAAAAGUAUUGUAUAAGCCCAUAUAUUAUGUCAAUAUGUACCAAAAAUAUGGGGAUAACGUGAAAUGUUUGCGCUUUAUCAGCAAAUUUUUAAAACGCCUCAUGGUAAAUUUGAUAACAUUCGAGACAAUCCCGUAGGAAAUCGGGGCGGUAAAAACAUUUUUUUUUAAAUCUAGAAAUAUUGUAAUAGAAGUAAAUUACUUGUUUUCAUCAACACAUCUAGGGUAGAAAUAAUUAGAAUCGGCCUCAUUAAUGGUUUUUAUAAAGAUACACUAUUUAUUGUACGAUGGUAAAAGAGACGCGGAUUAUUCACCAACGAAAAUCAUUUUUGCGGAGAGCAUCGCCCAAGGAUGAUUUUAUUUUACUGGAGAAAAAAAUCUUCAUAUAUCCUAAGCAUUCAUGCAAGUAAUAUAAUAUACCGAAAGACAUUCUGGCAUUUUAAAAAUUACGUCGUGUUUUAAAACAAAGCAAAAUAA